GUGCACGCUGGCGGUAGGCCUAACCCAUGCAAGUCGCACGGCAGCACAGUAAGAGCUUGCUCUUACGGGUGGCGGGUGGCGGACGGGUGAGGAAUACAUCGGAAUCUACUUUUUCGUGGGGGAUAACGUAGGGAAACUUACGCUAAUACCGCAUACGACCUACGGGUGAAAGCAGGGGAUCUUCGGACCUUGCGCGAUUGAAUGAGCCGAUGUCGGAUUAGCUAGUUGGCGGGGUAAAGGCCCACCAAGGCGACGAUCCGUAGCUGGUCUGAGAGGAUGAUCAGCCACACUGGAACUGAGACACGGUCCAGACUCCUACGGGAGGCAGCAGUGGGGAAUAUUGGACAAUGGGCGCAAGCCUGAUCCAGCCAUACCGCGUGGGUGAAGAAGGCCUUCGGGUUGUAAAGCCCUUUUGUUGGGAAAGAAAAGCAGCAGGUUAAUACCCCGCUGUUCUGACGGUACCCAAAGAAUAAGCACCGGCUAACUUCGUG
rnacentral:rRNA from 1 species